AUUAUUUUAUAGACUUUUACAGUUGAAACUGGAAUCAAUUUAAGAAUUCGCAGCAAUUAUAAAAUUCACUCCAACAUCAAAUUCUUUCUCAUUUUGAGAGAUAUCCCUCCUGAGGAAGUAGAAGUAGGCCAAUUUAUGUUUUUUCUAUAUUCAUUUAGAUGGAAUGAUGGUCAGAUUAUCUUAUCAAUUUCAAAUUCAAAGAGAUGAGCCAUCACACUUAUCGGAAUGGACGGCAUUGAAAAAUUUUCGCAUACGGUAUUAUUUUGCUUUAUUAAACUUCGAAUUCUACUGUUUUAUGUUUGUAUUCUCAUAUUUCAUUCUAGUACUAGAUUUACUUAUUCAUAUAUAUUUCUAUAUGAAUUGACUACUUGCUACCAAUUCUAUGUUCUAAAUUGCUUUUGAUUUUUUGGGAACCCGGUUUCCAUUUUGUGAAAAAUAUCUCAGAAGAGUCUAAGUGGAUGAGUAGUUUGAAAUGAUUUUUGAAUUUGAGGUUUUAAUUUUAGGUCAGUUUUGAUUAUAGUUUUCGAUUCUAUGUUCUAAAAUGUGUAUGUCUUGUAUUUGAAGAAUUUGUGGGGUGAGUUUAUACUAACCUAGUGGUUGGAAAUCAUGAAUUAUAUUGACAAUUUGGUAAAUACACUUCAAGAUGGAUGCUACUAUGCUUAGUGUAGAAUGGGGAAAAUUGAGGUUAGCAUGCAACAUAUGAGUGACGACAAGAAAGUCACUAAGCGUAGCUCAGUGUCAGGAAUGAUUAUAUAUGAUUUUUGUGUGUUUAGUUGAUUCUAUUUGAGGCUUUUUUCCAUGUAUGUACGUGGUGAGAGUAAAUAUCCGCCACUUGUACUAUAUAAAAAAAAAUAUAUGUAAGGGAAAACGGUAUUUUGGUAUCGACUCUAAUAAAUAGGGUGGCGAGGGAACCGUUAGAUAAUGAUCUAGAAGAUGAAGCCUACAUUCAACGGGCACGUAUGAUUGUGCUUGUGCUGUUGGGGGGCUUGAUAUUACCCGAUGGCUCAGGGUAUAAGAUACCUCUGAUGUGGUUGACCAUACAUUAGGAUGUUGGGGCUGCCUCUAUGAUUAAUUGGGCGAGUGUUGCACUUACUACGUUAUAUCAUACUCUUUGUGAGGCUUCCAUGGAUAAAAGGAAAGACAUUGGAGGUCCGACGGUACUCCUACAGUUGUGGGUGUGGGAGAGAAUGCCCACUUUGAGACCCGAUUUUGUGAUGACACGUAUGCAUACGGAUAACACUGCAUGUGCAUCGAUGGUAGUCAUAUAUCUCGUAAGGCGUGGACAGGCGAGGAAACAACUCCAUUCAAUAUUUGGCGCUUUGAGGGGCAUUUUUGGAAAAUAGAUAAUCAUCACAUAUGCGUGAUUGAUUAUGUCUGCAGAUUUGGUUUUGGUGGAGUUUAUUAUCUUGGGAAGUCUCUAGAUGUAGAUCAUGCUUUGAUAACAGGCUUAGUUGAACGUUGGAGGCCAGAAACACAUACCUUCCAUCUUCCUGUAGGAGACUACUGUUACCUUGGACGUUCAAGUGCUAUGGGUCUACGUGUAGAUGGAUUUCCUUUUACAGGAAAUGGUUAUUGUGAAUAUGGGUGAAGAAUCUAUGUGGUAAUCUGUUGGGCUUCUAUCCACAUCAAAGUGAGAUAAAGAAAAACGGUAUUUUGGCAUCGACUUUAAUAAAUAGGAUGGCGAGGGAACCGUUGGAUGAUGAUCUAGAAGAUGAAGCCUACAUUCAACGAGCACGUAUGAUUGUGCUUGUGCUAUUGGAGGGCUUGAUAUUACCCGAUGGCUCAGGGUAUAACAUACCUCUGAUGUGGUUGACCAUACUUCGGGAUGUUGGAAUUGCCUCUAUGAUUAGUUGAGCAAGUGCUACACUUACUACGUUAUAUCAUAAUAUUUGUGAGGCUUCCAUGGGUAAAAAGAAAGACAUUGGAGGUCCGACAGGUGUGGAAGAUAAUGCUCACUUUGAGACCCGAUUUUGUGAUGAUACGUAUGCAUACGGACAACAUUCCAUGUGCAUCGAUGUAAGUUUAUUGUUUAAGUAUUUUGUGUAUAUAAAGUAUUGUUUUUUUUUAUUGAA